UUGACUAUAAAAUCAAAGCCAUCUUCUUCGUCUCCAUAUCUCCCUCUCGUUCUUGUUGUAUUUUCCCCAAUUUUUUUGCGUCUUUGUGUUUCGUUGUAUACAGAUGAGUAAUAGGUUUUGGCCUAUGAUUAAUAAUCUUCUAAGACAAGCAUAUGUCUGAAUCAUCCUAUGUUGAUCACCUAAUCUUCUCUAUGAGGCCUUGUUAUUUUAUAUUUUUACGCUUUUUUUUUUGUUUUUUUGUUUAUUAAUGUAUUGAAAUUGAAGAGCCAGUGAUGAGAUAGUUUAUCGUGUAAUUGUAUGAUAAAUUCAUGAUUACAUCAAUGCUACUGCCUUCCUUCUGAGGCUCUUGAUUUUUAUAUCUUUUUGCUUGUUUUUGUUUAGUAAUUCAGAUCAAACAGGAGUCAAGUGAUGAUUAAAUGCAUAGUUCAAAUGAUUAUAUAUGUGAUUACACAUUUGAAAUUAGUCUUUCGCUCCUAUCUGAUGACUCCUUGAUUGUUUAUUUAAUGCCUCUGUUUUUAUGAUCAAGGAAAGAUUUGGGAAUUAAUUGUUAUGUACUUGUAAUUUUAUGAGAUCUUGUCUGUUAUUUACGUUUAUUGUUUAUUGUUAAAUAUUUAUAUAUACUUGUGUAGUAAACAAGCUAAGACUCCGAUGACGGAGAGACUCUUGAGCUGUUUUGCAGAAGAUUAAGUCGAAACAAGAAAAUAAAAGUUUAUUUUCUGCACACGGAUACAUAAACAUUUAAAAAAUAAGCAUGAACAACAGAUAAGAUCACAUAAAAUUGCAAUUACAGGUCAUACAACAAUUAAUUAUUUACGUACUUGAUUAUUUUUAUAAAUGUUGUGUUUUUAUUUGCAAUCAGGGACACUGAUGAUUGUGAUUGGUCUCGUUCGUCAUAACGGUGAAUUUUCACCUUGCCGACCAUCCUGUUAUAUCACCACCCAUAAACUGAGUCCCAUUCAAAUAUUAUGCUACUUUGUAUAUUCAAGAUGCGUAUUUUGCUUCUCUGGCUUCAUAGCAAUUAUGUUGGAGUGUAUGCACUUGUUUCAAGGCUCCACAUUUCAGCGUAUCUUAAUUGAAAUUGCCUAACUGGAUGAACAGAAUAUAAAGAUAUUUGAGCGCAUCUUUUUGAUAUGGUGGACUGGAAAGAGGAUGGACACAAAUAAAAUUAUUAAAAUUUUUUUGAA